CCUACGGGAGGCAGCAGUGAGGAAUAUUGGUCAAUGGACGAGAGUCUGAACCAGCCAAGUAGCGUGAAGGAUGACUGCCCUGUGGGUUGUAAACUUCUUUUAUAAAGGAAUAAAACGAGGCACGCGUGCCUUUUUGCAUGUACUUUAUGAAUAAGGAUCGGCUAACUCCGUGCCAGCAGCCGCGGUAAUACGGAGGAUCCGAGCGUUAUCCGGAUUUAUUGGGUUUAAAGGGAGCGUAGAUGGGUUGUUAAGUCAGUUGUGAAAGGUUGCGGCUCAACCGUAAAAUUGCAAUUGAUACUGGCAGUCUUGAGUACAGUUGAGGUAGGCGGAAUUCGUGGUGUAGCGGUGAAAUGCUUAGAUAUCACGAAGAACCCCGAUUGCGAAGGCAGCUUACUAAACUGUGACUGACAUUGAGGCUCGAAAGUGUGGGUAUCAAACAGGAUUAGAUACCCCUGUAGUC
rnacentral:rRNA from 1 species